GACGUAGGGGGCGAGCGUUGUCCGGAAUUAUUGGGCGUAAAGCGCGCGCAGGCUGCCCAUUAAGUCGGUUGUGAAAACCCGUGGCUCAACCACGGACCUGCAUCCGAUACUGGUGGGCUUGAGGCAGGUAGGGGAGAUUGGAAUUCCUGGUGUAGCGGUGAAAUGCGCAGAUAUCAGGAGGAACACCGGUGGCGAAGGCGGAUCUCUGGGCCUGUCCUGACGCUCAGGCGCGAAAGCUGGGGGAGCAAACAGGAUUAGAAACCCCCGUAGUCC
rnacentral:rRNA from 1 species